UCACUAAUCAAGCCCGGCUUGCUGUUGGACCUUUUGUCGUUGAAAGACAGGCCCUAAAGAUAAUGACGGCGUCAGUUGGACCCUAGAUGCAACGAGCUUUAACCAGCACGCAUUUUUAGUUGGUCCUUUUGACCCGGUCUUUUUUAACCAAUUUUUUAA
rnacentral:misc_RNA from 1 species